CAGCUCCCGUAACUUCAGACAACAGGAACAGUAUGUAAGAAGAGCUGCAUUAUCUAGAUUCUAGGUCUCAAAAUAUAAGGAAUGACCUCACGAGUCACAGCCCAGUUGUUCCUAUAUGUAGUUAGAAGGAGAUAUCUGAAGGAGCUCCUUGGAUCUGGCAUCCUCUCUACCGUCAACCUCACACCCCAGGCAAGAAGGGGAAAUCCCAGAGGCCAUAAUCCUCCAGCC